GGCAACAUUCAAACAGAAGGAGUAAGAAAUAUAUUCAAAUAAUUAAUGGUGCAUAAACAAUCAAAGUAGAUUAAAUAUAAUACAGUUGAAACAUAAUCCACAAUACACUACAACACAUGUAUUCAAGUUUCACCAACUUCACCCCAAUACAUAAUCAAUAUGCAACGUGACUCUCAACAAUAUUAUAGACUCAUAUGCAUGCGGUACCGAUCUCAACAAUAGUUCCAAUUAUGAACCGAGUUCCAUCUGCCGAAC
rnacentral:lncRNA from 1 species